rnacentral:tRNA from 1 species
ACCUGAGUGGCUCAGUCGGUUGAGCGUCCGACUUCAGCUCAGAUCACGAUCUCACAGUUUGUGGGUUAGAGCCCCACAUCAGGCU